CAGAGAAUAGUUUAAAAAGAAUAUUAGUUUUGGGGACUAAAGGUAAAAGCAACUUUUUUCUCUGA
rnacentral:tRNA from 1 species